CAUAACAAAUCUGUGGACAAAUGUAAUGAACAUGUGAAUCAAUUGCACCUGCUGUAAAUAUCUUGCCUUCGCCUGCUAAAGCUUCUGUACAUGCGCCAACAAUCAUACCUGGCGUCACACCAUCCAUCACAUCAGGAUUUCCUGCUUUUCCGAUACCAACAAUGAUUCCUUUCUUAAUACCAAUAUCUGCUUUAUAGAUGCCUGUAUAAUCAAUAAUCAAAGCAUUUGUAAUAACAAGGUCCAAAACUUCAUGAUCCAACUUUCCAGUAGCUUGUCCCAUACCUUCACG
rnacentral:sRNA from 1 species